rnacentral:ribozyme from 1 species
UGCCCAGCAACUCCUAUCCCUACCUCCAAGUGGUACCGAUUGGAAACUACGAGCAUAACCUUAGGAAAGAUCGGGUAACCAACCCCGGUGUGAACUUAGGUUGUAGGCUGAUAGGGAAGG